rnacentral:rRNA from 1 species
GACGAACGCUGGCGGCGUGCCUAAUACAUGCAAGUAGAACGCUGAAGGAGGAGCUUGCUUCUCUGGAUGAGUUGCGAACGGGUGAGUAACGCGUAGGUAACCUGCCUGGUAGCGGGGGAUAACUAUUGGAAACGAUAGCUAAUACCGCAUAAUAGUAGAUGUUGCAUGACAUUUGCUUAAAAGGUGCAAUUGCAUCACUACCAGAUGGACCUGCGUUGUAUUAGCUAGUUGGUGGGGUAACGGCUCACCAAGGCGACGAUACAUAGCCGACCUGAGAGGGUGAUCGGCCACACUGGGACUGAGACACGGCCAGACUCCUACGGGAGGCAGCAGUAGGGAAUCUUCGGCAAUGGACGGAAGUCUGACCGAGCAACGCCGCGUGAGUGAAGAAGGUUUUCGGAUCGUAAAGCUCUGUUGUAAGAGAAGAACGAGUGUGAGAGUGGAAAGUUCACACUGUGACGGUAGCUUACCAGAAAGGGACGGCUAACUACGUG